ACUCUCAUAGCUUAAUUGGUAAAGCAGACUAUCAAACGAUAGUCCGACGUGGGUUCAACUCCCACUGAGAGUA